UACGUAGGUGGCAAGCGUUGUCCGGAAUUAUUGGGCGUAAAGCGCGCGCAGGCGGUCCUUUAAGUCUGAUGUGAAAGCCCACGGCUCAACCGUGGAGGGUCAUUGGAAACUGGAGGACUUGAGUACAGAAGAGGAAAGCGGAAUUCCACGUGUAGCGGUGAAAUGCGUAGAGAUGUGGAGGAACACCAGUGGCGAAGGCGGCUUUCUGGUCUGUAACUGACGCUGAGGCGCGAAAGCAUGGGGAGCAAACAGG
rnacentral:rRNA from 1 species